GCUUACAAGUCACUUGCCCUGAAAAAUAAACUGGUGUAGCUAGUGGACUGUUGUCUGAGGCAGAGCCUUGUGUUGAGACGAGUUUAGAAGACAGGAAGCGAAAGAGACUGUGAUAUCAGCCCAUAAUGACGCAUUCAGCUCAACACAUCAGAUAGGAAAAAAAAUACUGACUAGCCGUCUCCCCUGUCACAAGAAAAUCCUGAAGGAGGAUGGCCGCCUGUCAUGUCGUGACCUAAAGCUUGAGCGCAGUUGGGUUAUGCAGGGCAAUGAUCCGAAGCACACAAGCAAGUCCACCUCUGAAUGGCUCAAAAGAAACAAAAUUAAGGUUUUGGAGUGGCCGAGUCAAAGGCCUGACUUGAAACCAAUUGAGACGCUGUGGCAAGACGUUAAAUGGGCAGUUUACGGUCAAAAACCCUCCAAUGUAGCCAAAUUAAAACAAUUUUGCAAAAAAGUGUGGGCCGAAAUUCCUCCACAGUGAUGUAAAAGGCUCAUCUUGAAUUAUCGCAAACAUGUGAUUGCAGUUGUUACCGCCAAGCGCGGCACAAGCAGUUAUUAGUUUACAGAGGGCAAUUACUUUUUUACCUGGGUGAUAAAGGUUUUGAAUGAUUCUUUGUCUUCAAUAAAUCAUUUAAAACCUG